GUUGGCAACGGUAGUGCGAUAC
rnacentral:miRNA from 1 species